rnacentral:rRNA from 1 species
GAUGAACGCUGGCGGCGUGCCUAAUACAUGCAAGUCGAGCGAACAGACGAGGAGCUUGCUCCUCUGACGUUAGCGGCGGACGGGUGAGUAACACGUGGAUAACCUACCUAUAAGACUGGGAUAACUUCGGGAAACCGGAGCUAAUACCGGAUAAUAUAUUGAACCGCAUGGUUCAAUAGUGAAAGACGGUUUUGCUGUCACUUAUAGAUGGAUCCGCGCCGCAUUAGCUAGUUGGUAAGGUAACGGCUUACCAAGGCGACGAUGCGUAGCCGACCUGAGAGGGUGAUCGGCCACACUGGAACUGAGACACGGUCCAGACUCCUACGGGAGGCAGCAGGAGGGAAUCUUCCGCAAUGGGCGAAAGCCUGACGGAGCAACGCCGCGUGAGUGAUGAAGGUCUUCGGAUCGUAAAACGCUGUUAUUAGGGAAGAACAAAUGUGUAAGUAACUAUGCACGUCUUGACGGUACCGAAUCAGAAAGCCACGGCUAACUACGU